CUUCCGUACGGCAACCACCUCGCCGCCCAGUGGUCUGCCGUCUCUUCUCCGACGUCUGCCUUCUUGGCAAACACUGGUUGCCAACACCGACGCCCCGAGGUCUGCCGGCUCGCCGACGCCCCGUGAUCUGCCUCAUUGGUCUGCCGCCUCUUCUUUGACGCCCAGGUUGGCUCUCCAACCAGUCGAAGACAUCGCCUCUUCUUAUCCUUCAUCUUCAU